rnacentral:rRNA from 1 species
GUGUCAGCAGCCGCGGUAAUACGGAGGGUGCGAGCGUUGUCCGGAAUCAUUGGGUGUAAAGGGUGCGUAGGCGGGCUGCUAAGUCUGGGGUGAAAUCCUGCCGCUUAACGGUAGAAUGGCCCCCGAUACUGGCAGUCUUGAGUACAGAAGAGGUCGGUGGAAUUCGUAGUGUAGCGGUGAAAUGCAUAGAUAUUACGAAGAACACCAGUGGCGAAGGCGGCCGGCUGGUCUGUAACUGACGCUGAGGCACGAAAGCGUGGGGAGCGAACAGGAUUAGAUACCCUGGUAGUCCACGCUGUAAACGAUGUAUGCUAGGUGUCGGCCUUUCGGGGUCGGUGCUGCAGUUAACGCAGUAAGCAUACCACCUGGGGAGUACGUCGGCAACGAUGAAACUUAAAUGAAUUGGCGGGG